rnacentral:rRNA from 1 species
GUCCUUUUGAUUUUUAUAUAAGGUCUGACCUGCCCUAUGAAUAUUUAAAUGGCCGCGGUAUACUAACCGUGCAAAGGUAGCAUAGUCAUUUGUCUCUUAAUUGGAGGCUUGAAUGAAGGGUUGGACGAGAUAUAAGCUUUCUUUGUUAUAUUUUAUUGAAUUUGACUUUUGAGUUAAAAGGCUUAAAUUUUUUUAUAGGACGAGAAGACCCUAUAGAAUUUUAUAUAUUUGUAUAAUUGAUUUAUUUAUUUAUUAUUUAAUUUCUUGUUUAAAUAUAUUUUGUUGGGGCGAUGGGAAGAUUUUAAUAACUCUUUUUUGUUUUGAUCAUUGAUUUAUGUUUUAUUCUGAUCCUUUUUUAGAGAUUAUAAGAUUAAAUUACCUUAGGGAUAACAGCGUAAUUCUUUUGGAGAGUUCUUAUCGAUAAAAGAGUUUGCGA